CUUUGACGUUAGCGGCGGACGGGUGAGUAACACGUGGGUAACCUACCUAUAAGACUGGGAUAACUUCGGGAAACCGGAGCUAAUACCGGAUAACAUUUGGAACCGCAUGGUUCUAAAGUGAAAGAUGGUUUUGCUAUCACUUAUAGAUGGACCCGCGCCGUAUUAGCUAGUUGGUAAGGUAACGGCUUACCAAGGCGACGAUACGUAGCCGACCUGAGAGGGUGAUCGGCCACACUGGAACUGAGACACGGUCCAGACUCCUACGGGAGGCAGCAGUAGGGAAUCUUCCGCAAUGGGCGAAAGCCUGACGGAGCAACGCCGCGUGAGUGAUGAAGGGUUUCGGCUCGUAAAACUCUGUUAUUAGGGAAGAACAAAUGUGUAAGUAACUGUGCACGUCUUGACGGUACCUAAUCAGAAAGCCACGGCUAACUACGUGCCAGCAGCCGCGGUAAUACGUAGGUGGCAAGCGUUAUCCGGAAUUAUUGGGCGUAAAGCGCGCGUAGGCGGUUUCUUAAGUCUGAUGUGAAAGCCCACGGCUCAACCGUGGAGGGUCAUUGGAAACUGGGAAACUUGAGUGCAGAAGAGGAAAGUGGAAUUCCAUGUGUAGCGGUGAAAUGCGCAGAGAUAUGGAGGAACACCAGUGGCGAAGGCGACUUUCUGGUCUGUAACUGACGCUGAUGUGCGAAAGCGUGGGGAUCAAACAGGAUUAGAUACCCUGGUAGUCCACGCCGUAAACGAUGAGUGCUAAGUGUUAAGGGGUUUCCGCCCCUUAGUGCUGCAGCUAACGCAUUAAGCACUCCGCCUGGGGAGUACGACCGCAAGG
rnacentral:rRNA from 1 species